AAGUCGUAACAAGGUUUCCGUAGGUGAACCUGCGGAAGGAUCAUUACAUUUCGGUGGUUUACUGCCGUAUGAAAGGGGUGGAAACUUCUCUGGUGUUGCCAGACAGGAGUACACCUUUUUUCUUAACCCUUGACUUUUUGCGCACUCAUGUUUCCUCGGGAGGCUUGCCUGCCGAAUGGACAAAACUAUAACCUUUUUACUAUUCAAUCAGCGUCUGAACAAUUAUAAUAAUUACAACUUUCAACAACGGAUCUCUUGGUUCUG
rnacentral:misc_RNA from 1 species